AAUUAAUUGAACUUUUUUUGUAUAGAAACAUUUAUUUAUGAAAAUUUGAUYYUUAAAUAAAGAUUAAAAGAUAAAAUUACCUUAGGGAUAACAGCGUAAUUUUUUUUUAGAGUUCAAAUUAAAAAAAAAGAUUGCGACCUCGAU
rnacentral:rRNA from 1 species